CCUACGGGUGGCAGCAGUGAGGAAUAUUGGUCAAUGGGUGCGAGCCUGAACCAGCCAAGUAGCGUGAAGGAUGACGGUCCUAUGGGUUGUAAACCUCUUUUGUCGGGGAGUAACAGGCCCAACGUGUGGGGUUUCGCGUGUACCCGAUGAAAAAGGACCGGCUAAUUCCGUGCCAGCAGCCGCGGUAAUACGGAGGGUUCGAGCGUUAUCCGGAUUUAUUGGGUUUAAAGGGAGCGUAGGCGGUAUAUUAAGUUUGCGGUGAAAGUUAGGGGCUCAACCCGAACAUUGCCGUGGGAAAUGGCUGGCUUGAGUACAUGUGAGGCAGGCGGAAUUCGUCGUGUAGCGGUGAAAUGCACAGAGAGCACGAAGAACGCCGAUUGCGAAGGCAGCUUGCUGAAGCGGAACUGACACUGAAGCUCGAAAGCGUGGGUAUCGAACAGGAUUAGAUACCCGGGUAGUC
rnacentral:rRNA from 1 species